CCUACGGGUGGCUGCAGUGGGGAAUAUUGGACAAUGGGCGAAAGCCUGAUCCAGCCAUGCCGCGUGUGUGAAGAAGGCCUUCGGGUUGUAAAGCACUUUCAGUGGGGAAGAAAGCCUUGGGGCUAAUACCCUCGAGGAAGGACAUCACCCACAGAAGAAGCACCGGCUAACUCCGUGCCAGCAGCCGCGGUAAUACGGAGGGUGCGAGCGUUAAUCGGAAUUACUGGGCGUAAAGCGCGCGUAGGCGGUCUGAUAAGCCGGUUGUGAAAGCCCCGGGCUCAACCUGGGAACGGCAUCCGGAACUGUCAGGCUAGAGUGCAGGAGAGGAUGGUAGAAUGCCCGGUGUAGCGGUGAAAUGCGUAGAGAUCGGGAGGAAUACCAGUGGCGAAGGCAGCCGUCUGAGCUGACACUGACGCUGAGGUGCGAAAGCGUGGGUAGCAAACAGGAUUAGAUACCCCUGUAGUC
rnacentral:rRNA from 1 species